rnacentral:rRNA from 1 species
AGUUUGAUCCUGGCUCAGGAUGAACGCUGGCGGCGUGCCUAAUACAUGCAAGUCGAACGAAUCUCUUUUAGAGAUGAGUGGCGAACGGGUGAGUAAUACAUAGGUAACCUGCCCCUGUGCGGGGGAUAACAGGAGGAAACUCCUGCUAAUACCGCAUAGCCAUGAGCACCGCAUGGAGCUCAUGCCAAAUAUCCUUUAUGGGAUAGCGCAGGGAUGGACCUAUGGCGCAUUAGCUGGUUGGCGGGGCAACGGCCCACCAAGGCAACGAUGCGUAGCCGGCCUGAGAGGGCGGACGGCCACAUUGGGACUGUGACACGGCCCAGACUCCUACGGGAGGCAGCAGUAGGGAAUUUUCGGCAAUGGGGGAAACCCUGACCGAGCAACGCCGCGUGAGCGAAGAAGGCCUUCGGGUCGUAAAGCUCUGUUGUAAAGGAAGAACGGCGCAUACAGGAAAUGGUAUGCGAGUGACGGUACUUUACCAGAAAGCCACGGCUAACUACGUGCCAGCAGCCGCGGUAAUACGUAGGUGGCGAGCGUUAUCCGGAAUCAUUGGGCGUAAAGAGGGAGCAGGCGGCCGCAAGGGUCUGUGGUGAAAGCCCGAAGCUAAACUUCGGUAAGCCAUGGAAACCGGGCGGCUAGAGUGCGGAAGAGGAUCGUGGAAUUCCAUGUGUAGCGGUGAAAUGCGUAGAUAUAUGGAGGAACACCAGUGGCGAAGGCGACGGUCUGGGCCGCAACUGACGCUCAUUCCCGAAAGCGUGGGGAGCAAAUAGGAUUAGAUACCCUAGUAGUCCACGCCGUAAACGAUGGUCACUAAGUGUCGGGGGUCAAACCCCGGUGCUGCAGUCAACGCAAUAAGUGACCCGCCUGAGUAGUACGUUCGCAAGAAUGAAACUCAAAGGAAUUGACGGAAG